rnacentral:rRNA from 1 species
CAGGGCGUCCGAGUUGUAAUCUAUAGAGGCGUUUUCCGUGCCGGACCGUGUCCAAGUUCCUUGGAACAGGAUAUCAAAGAGGGUGACAAUCCCGUACUUGACACGACGACCGGUGCUCUGUGAUACGUCUUCUACGAGUCGAGUUGUUUGGGAAUGCAGCUCAAAAUGGGUGGUGAGUUCCAUCUAAAGCUAAAUAUUGGCGAGAGACCGAUAGCGAACAAGUACCGUGAGGGAAAGAUGAAAAGCACUUUGGAAAGAGAGUUAAACAGUACGUGAAAUUGUUGAAAGGGAAACGAUUGAAGUCAGUCGUGACCGAGAGGCUCAGCCGGUUCUGCCGGUGUAUUCCCCUCGGUCGGGUCAACAUCAGUUUUGUCCGGUGGAUAAGGGCGGUAGGAAGGUGGCACCCUCGGGUGUGUUAUAGCCUGCCGUCGCAUACAUCGGGUGAGACUGAGGAACGCAGCUCGCCUUUAUG